rnacentral:lncRNA from 1 species
AAGAAAAGAAAACCUACGUAGGCAGAGAAACCCUCCCUACAUCAAUUAAGGAAAAGGGGUCACAUUGGUGCACAGACCGUAUGACCCCCCCACCACGAAGUUCAGACUAAGAGAAGCACGACAAGCAGUGAAAGAGGACAGGUUCAGCAACAGAGAGCAAGAUGAAAUCUAAAAGACUGCAGUUCCAGACCUUCAACAGCAAGCAGAGUCAGCACAGUCAGCCUUCCAACCAAGGAAAACCUUUGCCCAGGCUGUGCACAUGACAAUGGCCUCAGUCACCUCAGCGCCCCUAGGGCCGACAAAUUAAGUGCAUGCC